AUUUUCAUUCGUGUUUGAAGAAUUUCAACCCAAAAACCUUUCAGAACAAUCAGCUAAGCUGGACUGAUACGUGAAAAUCAUUUCUGAUUUCAGGUUCAAAACGUGAUAGUUCAUCGAAGGUUCAGAGGAGAUAGUCAACGUUACUCAUCAGAUAUAGGAUUUUUAAUAACGAAAGAUACUUUCCAAUUAUCAAUCGCUGUGCAACCUGUAUGUUUUAGAAACGUAAAAAACAUUCAUCUAACCAAUCAAUCCAGAGGAAUAAUUUCAGGGUGGGGAUUUCCUUCAAAGAACGGCGGGAUGUCGGAUGAAUUAGAAGAAAUUGAAAUGGUAUA